AGGGGAUUAGCUCAGUUCGGUAGAGCGGCGGAUUCUUAACUCCGCAGGUCGCAGGUUCGAGUCCUGCAUCUCCUGCCA
rnacentral:tRNA from 1 species